rnacentral:rRNA from 1 species
AAAUGAAUUGACGGGUCCCCGCACAAGCAGCGGAGCGUGUGGUUUAAUUCGAGGCUACGCGAAGAACCUUACCAGGGUUUGACAUGCUAGUGGUAGUGAUACGAAAGUUGAACGACCCUUCGGGGAGCUAGCACAGGUGCUGCAUGGCUGUCGUCAGCUCGUGCCGUGAGGUGUCAGGUUAAGUCCUGUAACGAGCGCAACCCUCGUCGUUAGUUACAAGUGUCUAACGAGACUGCCGGUGAUAAGCCGGAGGAAGGUGAGGCUGAAGUCAAGUCAGCAUGGCCUUUAUAUCCUGGGCUACACACACGCUACAAUGGCCGGUACAGUGGGUUGCCAAAUCGCGAGAUGGAGCCAAUCCCCCAAAGCCGGUCUCAGUUCGGAUUGCAGGCUGCAACUCGCCUGCAUGAAGUCGGAGUUGCUAGUAACCGCGCGUCAGCCACAGUGCGGUGAAUACGUUCCCGGGGAUUGUACACACCGCCCGU